UUAGCGGCGGACGGGUGAGUAACACGUGGGUAACCUGCCUGUAAGACUGGGAUAACUCCGGGAAACCGGAGCUAAUACCGGAUAGUUCCUUGAACCGCAGGGUUCAAGGAUGAAAGACGGUUUCGGCUGUCACUUACAGAUGGACCCGCGGCGCAUUAGCUAGUUGGUGGGGUAAUGGCUCACCAAGGCGACGAUGCGUAGCCGACCUGAGAGGGUGAUCGGCCACACUGGGACUGAGACACGGCCCAGACUCCUACGGGAGGCAGCAGUAGGGAAUCUUCCGCAAUGGACGAAAGUCUGACGGAGCAACGCCGCGUGAGUGAUGAAGGUUUUCGGAUCGUAAAGCUCUGUUGUUAGGGAAGAACAAGUGCGAGAGUAACUGCUCGCACCUUGACGGUACCUAACCAGAAAGCCACGGCUAACUACGUGCCAGCAGCCGCGGUAAUACGUAGGUGGCAAGCGUUGUCCGGAAUUAUUGGGCGUAAAGGGCUCGCAGGCGGUUUCUUAAGUCUGAUGUGAAAGCCCCCGGCUCAACCGGGGAGGGUCAUUGGAAACUGGGAAACUUGAGUGCAGAAGAGGAGAGUGGAAUUCCACGUGUAGCGGUGAAAUGCGUAGAGAUGUGGAGGAACACCAGUGGCG
rnacentral:rRNA from 1 species